UGAUGUAGAAAAUGUGGUAGAAGCAUGAC
rnacentral:piRNA from 1 species